AACCGUCAAUUCAUUUAAGUUUCAACCUUGCGGCCGUACUCCCCAGGCGGUCAACUUCACGCGUUAGCUUCGUUACUGAACAGCAAGCCGUCCAACAACCAGUUGACAUCGUUUAGGGCGUGGACUACCAGGGUAUCUAAUCCUGUUUGCUCCCCACGCUUUCGUGCAUGAGCGUCAGUACAGGUCCAGGGGAUUGCCUUCGCCAUCGGUGUUCCUCCGCAUAUCUACGCAUUUCACUGCUACACGCGGAAUUCCAUCCCCCUCUACCGUACUCUAGCCAUGCAGUCACAAAUGCAGUUCCCAGGUUGAGCCCGGGGAUUUCACAUCUGUCUUGCAAAGCCGCCUGCGCACGCUUUACGCCCAGUAAUUCCGAUUAACGCUUGCACCCUACGUAUUACCG
rnacentral:misc_RNA from 1 species